ACACACGUGCUACAAUGGCAACUACAGUGGGCAGCAACCGUGCGAGCGGUAGCUAAUCUCCAAAAGUUGUCUCAGUUCGGAUUGUUCUCUGCAACUCGAGAGCAUGAAGGCGGAAUCGCUAGUAAUCGCGGAUCAGCAUGCCGCGGUGAAUACGUUCCCAGGCCUUGUACACACCGCCCGUCACACCAUGGGAGUUGGUUUCACCCGAAGGCAGUGCUCUAACCCGCAAGGGAGGAAGCUGACCACGGUGGGAUCAGCGACUGGGGUGAAGUCGUAACAAGGUAGCCGUAGGGGAACCUG
rnacentral:rRNA from 1 species